AACCUACGGGGGGCAGCAGUGAGGAAUAUUGGUCAAUGGUCGGGAGACUGAACCAGCCAAGCCGCGUGAGGGAGGAAGGUACAGAGUAUCGUAAACCUCUUUUGUCAGGGAACAAAGACUGGGACGCGUCCCCGGAUGAGUGUACCUGAAGAAAAAGCAUCGGCUAACUCCGUGCCAGCAGCCGCGGCAAUACGGAGGAUGCGAGCGUUAUCCGGAUUUAUUGGGUUUAAAGGGUGCGCAGGCGGUCUGUUAAGUCAGCGGUCAAAGCCCGGGGCUUAACCCCCGCCCGCCUUUGAAACUGGCAG
rnacentral:rRNA from 1 species